rnacentral:rRNA from 1 species
AUUGAACGCUGGCGGCAGGCUUAACACAUGCAAGUCGAACGAGUGGCGGACGGGAGAGUAAUGCUUGGGCAUCUAGGUUGUGGAGAGGGAUAACUACGGGAAACUGUAGCUAAUUCCGCGUACCUGAGUCUGAGCCCAAGUGGGAUGAGGUAGUUGGUGAGGUCAAGGAUCACCAAGACGCCGAUCUAUAGCUGGUCUGAGAGGAUGACCAGACACACUGGGACUGAGACACGGCCCAGACUCCGACGGGAGGCAGCAGUGGGGAAUAUUGCACAAUGGGCGAAAGCUGACGCAGCCAUGCCGCGUGAAUGAAGAAGGCCUUCGGGUUGUAAAGUACUUUCGGUAGCGAGGCGUUAACUACAGAAGAAGCACCGGCUAACUCCGUGCCAGCCGCCGCGGUAAUAC